rnacentral:lncRNA from 1 species
GAACAAAACAAGAGUGAUUAUGUCUGAAUCAAUCAUCUCACAUUUGAGCCUGUUUAUGAUCUAACCAAUCCCAAUCACAAAUUUGUUUAUUUUCUUACAAAAUUCAAAAUCAUCUCAAGAGUUAUUAAAAAUCAGAAGAAAGCAAAGUAUUCAAAAUCAUCAAUCGGUCUUGAAGAAUCAGUUUUUGUGCAGCUUUGUUACUCUUCAGCGGCAAUGACACUGAUCUCACCUCUCUCUCAAGCAAGUCAUAGAAAGCUCUGGUUUUCCUCUGUUUGUUCCAAUGGUCUCAUCUUCCAAAGACCACCAGCAGCUAAACCGAGUGCCAUACCGAUGAUUAGCUAGAAAUGUAAUGCACAAUCAAUUCAUAUACAAGACAGAGACUGACUACUCUCUUCACCAUCCCACGGUUCAGCAUCUUCCCAGCUGCUCCAAAUAUUGGAGCCAAGCGGCCUGUGAUCGGUCCUGGGUUUGCUAGUUUCUAUAAAGCAUCAAGUAUAAAAAGAGAGAGACUAUCUAUAAAGCAUACACCUUUACAUGUGACACAGACUAAUAACAAUGAUCCGUUCAUGAGAUAAAAGGAAGAUACUUUUUGAUUGAAUUAACUAGAUUCAGAUGACAACAAUGCAUAAAUGAAAAAAGAAAAGGAAAGUGAGAUGAAACCAGAAGAAGAAGAAGGUUGGUCACGUCGCGCUUUCUCCUCUGCCCAAAACAACACACCAUUCUCUCCAAAAAUUCAAUCUUUCCGAUGAUCUUCCUUAAGGUGACACUAAGUAGUCUCUGGUUCGAACUCUUUCUCUGUCCUGAAACAACCAGAAAAACACAUUCUUUAUCAAAACCAACAGCAAGCAGAGAAAGGGAUACCAAAUCAGAGAAUAAAAACAAUGACUUUGAAGUUUAUAUUUCUGAGAGGUUGGCGAUCUCUUUGCUUUUUUCAGAGAAACAAUCAAUUGGGAGAGACACAGAGAGGAAGAGAUAGAGACAGGGAGAAGUAGAGAAGAGACUGUUCUUCCAACUCCUCCUAAUCAGGAGAUGUCUCUUGUGUUAAUUGUAACUAGGAUAAGACCCGCGCCUUGCGCGGGAUUAAGUUAUUAUUUUUAUUAUAUUUUUGAGAAUGAAACAAUAGUUUGGCUUCAUUUGGAUUACAGGUGUUCAAUCCGGAUAUCGGGUUGGUUCGGUUCGGUUCGGUUUUUUCGGUAUUUGGUUAGUAAAAUAUAACUACUAUUCUAAAUCCAUAUUUAUUUUGACUUUAGUCUUUCACAUACUUUUGAAAGAUUUCAACUGGACGACUAAAUUGAUCAGCCAAUCUUGUUGCUUUAAAUCAUUAGUGUAUAUAUAUAUAUAUAUAUAUAUAUUAUUUAGUUUGAAUAUUUAUUAAAUAAAAAUUCAUAUGCGUUAUAUUUUAUGAUCAUUUGUAACUUAUUAUAACAAAAAAAUAAUCUAUUGAUCACAAAAUUUUCAGAGUGGGAAUAUUCAAAUUUCUAAUAAUAUAUAGACGUUUUGAAAAAUUCAAAUAUAACAUAUAAGAAAAAAUAAAAAUGUUUUUAUUAUAUAUUUAAUGUGAUUUUUUAAUAUCUUUCAAUAAUAUAAAAUUAAAAAAAAAGAACUAAGAUACCAAAAUUGUUAUCAAAUAUUUAUUAUUCAUAAUAAUUAAUUUUCAUAUAUACGUUAAUCAUAUUAGGUAAUUUCGUAGCUUCUAAUUAAGGAAAGUGCAAAAAAAAUUUGGUAGAUUAUUUAUCAAUUCGAUAGUUAGUUUAAUAAAAAAUAUAAUGUAAGUCAAGAUGGACCAACCUAUUUUUCUAAGAAUAGUAUAUUUUAUAUAGUCAUUUAUUAAAUGAGAAUUUUAAUCAUACAGUUCUAUGAUCAUUCAUAUCAUUUUAUAACUGAAUAUUUAAAUCAUCGAUAACAAAAUUUUCAAUGUGAAAUCUUUAAUAAGUUUAUAAUUAUAAAUGUUUUUGAAAAUUCAUUGAAAGUUUUAAUAUUAAAAUAUUUAUGUAAUCUUAUGGUAUAUAGUAUAAUCUAUAUAUAUAUAUAUGUUUUAUUAUUAAAUGAUAUUUUUUACUCAUAUGGUUUUAAAAUAAUGUGUAUCUUCUUAUAAUAUUAAAUAAAAGUUCAUAUUAAUACAAUUUUAUGAUCAUUUGUAACUUAUUAUGACAAAAAAAAUAAUCUAUUGAUCACAAAAUUUUCAGAGUGGGGAUCUUCAAAUUUCUAAUAAUUUAUAGACGUUUUGAAAAAUUCAAAAUAUAACAUAUAAGAAAAAUUUUAAAUGUUUUUAUUAUAUAUUUAAUGUGAUUUUUAAAUAUAUUUUAAUAAUAUAAAAUUAAAAAAAGAACUAAGAACAAAAAUUGUUAUCAAAUAUUUAUUAUUCAUUAUAAUUAAUUUUCACAUAUACGUUAAUCAUAUUAGGUAAUUUCGUAGCUUUUAUUUAAGGAAAGUGCAAAACAUUUUUUGGUACGUUAUUUAUCAAUUCGAUAGUUAGUUUAAUAAAAAGUGUAAUAUAAGUUAAGAUGGACCAACCUAUUUUUCUAGGAAUAGUAUAUUUUGUAUAGUUAUUUAUUAAAUAGGAAUUUAUAAUCAUACGGUUCUAUGAUCGUUCAUAUCGUUUUAUAACAAAAUAUUUAAAUCAUCGAUAACAAAAUUUUCAAUCUGAAAUCUUUAAUAAGUUUAUAAUUUAUAAAUGUUCUUGAAAAUUCAUUGAAAGUUUUAAUAUUAAAAUAUUUAUGUAAUCUUAUGGUAUAUAGUGUUUAAUAUAUAUAUAUAUAUAUAUAUAUAUUAUAUUUAUUUUAUUAUUAAAUGAUAUUUUUUACUCAUAUGGUUUUAAAAUCAUGUGUAUCUUCUUAUAAUAAAAAUGUUAAACCAUUGAUCAUUAAUUUUUAACAUAAUAAUUUUAAUAGUUUUAGUCAUUUAUUGUCGUUUUUAAAAAUUCAAAAUAUAACAUAUACGAAAAAAUCUAAAUUUUAUUUUUAUAGCUAAUUUGAUUGUUUAAUUUAUUUUAAUAAUAUAAAAUUAAACAAAAAGUGAUGGAGGAGAUAUACAUUGUUAUCAAAUCUUUAUUAUUAAAAUCAUUAAUUGUCAUAUAUAUAUUAGUCAUUUAUGGUAAUUCCGUAGGUUUUAUUUAAGGAAAGAAAAUAUCAUAUCAUAUCAUUAUAUCAUAUAGUUUGACCAACUUAUGUAUCUAACAACAUAUAAAAAUCGAAUGUGGACCUACUUAUUUUUCAAUUGAAUGUAAUUGACUACCUAAUUGAGUGCCACUUAUGCAUUGGGGCCUCUUUUAAUUAAUACAAAAUUGAGGUUACAUCUUUUCAAAUGUUCCUCAAUUAAUAUAUAAGGGAUUUUUCUUUUUUUUUUUUAAAUUAAAAUUAUGUUAAAGAGACACGUCUAAGAACCUGGAGAUGAGUUCCCGUCCUCCUAAUCAGGAGAUGAGUUCAACAAUUACGAGACUGUCAUAUUAAUGUAGACAAUAAACAACAAAAGAAUGUAAAUAUUUUUUAAUGACAUGACUUACAUAUAAAUGAGCUGUCAAUUUGAUUGGUUAGAAAAUUUUGGAUGAUGUGGACACUCUUAAAACCCUAGCUCAUCAACUUUAUAUAAGAAUAAGCAUAAUUGUUUAGAUUCACAUAAAUAUCCAGAAUUUUUUUUUUAAAAAGAAUAUCAUUAAAAUUAUGUGUCAGCUCUCAACACUCGUCUUCCUCGUUCUAUCAAUCAUUGCGAUCGACCACCUUUCUCUUGCAAGUGCUAGAGUAAGAAACCUCAACUAUGCGGCGUUUUGUGUGAUAUCUAAAUCAGCCACAGAUGCACAAAUGCAAUCUAAUAUAAAUUGGGUGUGUAGUCAGAAAUUUGACUGUACGCCAAUCAAUCCCGGUGGGUCUUGCUUUGAACCAAAUAAUCUUAGUAGCCAUGCAUCGUUUGUGAUGAAUAGGUAUUACCAAAAAAAUGGACGUGAAGAAGAAGCAUGCGAUUUCGCUAAUACCGGUAGGUUCAUUAAUAGUGAUCCAAGCUAUGGUGAUUGUGUGUAUGAUUAUUAAUAAUAAAUAAAGUAUUUCGUCAUUCAGAAUUUCAUAUUUAGUCAAUAUAUUUAAAUUUAUGACUUCAUUAUUGGGUUCAACAUUUUUCGGAUUCUCGCAGUGGCUGCAACUAGAAAUCUUUUUUUUUUUGUAUGAUAAAUCUAUUCGAAAUGUAUUAUUCAAUUGGACAUCAUGUAAAACAAACCAGUUACAACAAAUAACAUGAAAUUAUUACCUUCUCGUUCCUUUUUGGAUGGAAAAAUAAAAUAAAGAGAAAAUUACCUACAAUAACCUAUCUUUUUACAGAAAUUGUUCGAACAACUCAUAAAAUUUAAGAUUACUCAGGUAACCUACUAAUCAUCAAAGUAAUUCCAUAAUUCCUAAACUACCCUUUUAUAACUUGUGCAUAAUAUUGUUUUAAUCAAAUAAUUAUUUUAAUAUUAAUUAUCUCAUUAAUCAUUUAUUGUAAAAUAAGGAAGGUUAGGAUAUACAAGAAUAUUGACUCUAAAUCAAAUAAAUUUCAGCGACAAAAUUCUAGCAAUUCACCAAUUUUAUCGACAAAAUCUCUUUUCUUAUCUUCCUGUUCUUGCACCAAUUCUAUCGACAAAAAUACUUUGUAACCGUGAAUCUCAGAUCGUGAGCGAGGCGUGGUUUUAAAACCAGGUUAGCAACAUCAUUCUCUAAUUUUACCUUCACUCUCAGCCAAUGACUAUGUCGUAAAUCUUCCUAUAGUUAUAUUUGAGCAUGUGUACAAGAUUGUUUUCUUUUAUUAUCUUGAGAGUCUUUAGUUAAAGUUGAAUAUUCUUUGGUAGAGUUUUUUUAUUUAAUCUAUUAGACUCAUAUUCUUUUUACAGGAUGUCAAUUCAAACAAAUGUGGAUUUAGGAUUUCCAUUACGAUUGUUUUCACUUGGUUGUGAGCCAAAGCCCAAGAAAAGUAUCAACCCCCAUAGUAAGACUGAGUUUUUAGAAGAUGUGGAAAAUGCUGUUGGAGAAGAAGUGUGGAACAUUGUCUGUGGUUCACCUCUUGAAUAAUUAUAUGGUUUGUAGAAAAUAAAUUCACUUAGUCAUCUAAGGUAGUCGAGCAUUUUCUUGUGAACCAACUUGUUUGCAAGAAAAAAGCAUGAGAUGUGGUGCUUGUUUGGAAAUACACCGGCUCAGUUCUCUUUGUCAGAGUUCGAAAACAUAACUGCUUUGAACUGUGCACCUUUUGUUGAAAAUGAAGAUGUCGUUGAAACAAAGGUGCAUAAAGGAUUGUGGAAGAAGUUAAAGUAAAGAGGAAAAGCCUAUGCAAGAAAGGGUUGAGAGGAGCCUUGGAAGAUAUUUUUUCUUGGUCAACAGAAGACAAAAUCUGUUUUACAUAUUUGUCUAUUUUAGCAACUAUUAUCAUAGGUGAAGAUGAUAAAAAGGAGCUUCCGCUUGAAAUAAUGGAUGUGUGUCGAUCAGAAAUUAUCACCAACUCUCGGUGGUCACCGUAAACCAAACGCUACUGAAUUAGGAACCACUUCCAUGAAGAAUAUCUACAAUCCCAAAAGCAAGAGGAAAUAUCUCACCAUUUCCAUCUUGUGAAGCCGCAACUAGCAUAACACCUUUGAAUUUUCCUUUCAAAUGAGGUCCAUCCAUUACAGUCACGUUUCUUCUAAACUGGAAACCUCUGAUACAUGCAUCAAAUGCAAUGAACAAGUACUUAAACCUAUCUUUCUCGUCGCAAACAAGUUUAGUAAUUGUACCUGGAUUUGCCGCCUCAAUCUUCUGUAAAUAUAAAGGCAAAUCCUCAUACCCACUCUCCCAUGUACCUCUUUCUAGCUCACAGGCAUGAACUAACGCUUUGUAUGACUUCCAGUAAUCAAUAUCAAUACCAUAAAUAGCCUUCAUCACGUCCAUGAUGUGAAUCGGUCUAAUCCCUAGACCGAUUUUCCCAAAUUUUCCUAAAUACAACUCUCCAAUACAUUUUGAUGUAGCUUGUCGAUGACGAGAAGAUCUUUCUGUAGCAGAACAUUUAUGAAUGUCUAUGUACUUUCUCACUUUAAACUUCAAAUAUGAUUUAAUUGUUGAUGCACGAAUCUUCCAAGAACAACCAGGAACAAAGCAUUUGAGCACCAACAAAGAUUUUGUUUAUUUAUAAGUUGUAUAAUCAAAAUUUUGAAAAAUCGUGAUCAUACGCAACUUAUGUUGUAACUCCUUCUUGGUGCUAUAUAUUUGCCCCACAGUUAUACGCUCUAAAAUCUGGACAAUAUUUUGUGUACCUAUGGAGUCACCAACCAUUUCAUCAUCUUCAGUCUCUCCAUCUAAAGACAUCUUUGAAUCAAAUCCAGAACUACGACUUGUAGAACCAAAACAAUUUCCAUCUUCACUAAUUUCAUCAAACAUACCACUUUGGACCUCUUCUUCACCAUAUCUAUAUGGUGCACCACUUUGUGCCUCGUCUUCACCAAAUCCAAAUGCAACACUGUUCUGUUUAUCUUCACUGCCUCCCUCAAUAGUACCACUUUUUUCUGUAUCCUCGGUAUUUUCGUUAAGAGUUCCACUUUUUUCUUCAUCCUCACAACUUUUAUAUAAAUUGCCACUCAUUUUUUCAACUAUGAUAUUACCUGCAAAAUUAAUACUAUAUAAUUAGAAACAGAGUAAUCUAUACUAUACUAAAAGGAGGAUAUAAGCUCCUAUUAGAGUGUCCACGUAGGCACAAAAAAUCGUCCAAUCAGAGAGUCCGAAGUUGCCACGUCAUCUCAUUUAUUUUUUCGUAAAAAUUGAAAAAACAAUGCAAAGGAAAUGAUCGAACCCGGGUUAGUAUGACAUAAAUAUAUGGUAGAUACCACUAAGCCAUUGAAACUUUCUUGGACACAUAUACAAGAAUCACUAAAUAUGUAAUCACAAACUCUUAUGUACAUUUACAAUAAUAUGGAUUCAACUUUCAAGACUCCGAUAUUUUGUUUUGUAAAAAAAAUAAGUAAGUGACUAAGCUAAUAUAUUCUUUGAAAGUGUGAGAACAUUGACAAAUAUGAAAAACGUAGAUUUUUGUUUUCGUGACAAAGUUAAGAAUUUUGUAAAAGUAAGUUUAACAUAUAAAUUUUCGUGACAAAUAUUAAAAAGCAUAGAUUUUUGUACAAUUUUGACAAAACAACUCAAAACAUAGUUCUCUAAUAUCUUAAUAAAAUAUUAUUUAAGGGUGCAAUAAUUAAAUAUAUUAAUUCAAUAAAUUUUGUAAUUUAUAGACAAAACAAUAACACAACAAAUUUUGAAACAUUUGUUUAACCUAUCGAUUUCUUUUCAUAAGAAUCCAACUAAACAAGAUAAAAAAAUAAUUAGAUUUAUUUAAUUACCAUUUUAUUCAAUUUUGAAUAAUUUCAAAUUGUAAUAAUGUAUCUUUUUGAAGUUACAAAAAAUAUUGUUCUUUCUUUGUUACACUAGCAUUAUAUAUAGAUUCCAUAUACACAAAUAAAUAUAAUAUAACAACAUAUGCUUGCUUUCCCUGAUUCAUAUGAAAACUUUUUAAGUUAUCCACCAAAGCAAAUUAAUUAAAUCAAUAAAAUUGUUAGAAUACAACAAAUUAAUAUAUAAUUUUUAUUUUAAAUUAUUUUUUUUUAAAGUGUAUUUUCGUUAAAAAAAAAUAAUAAAUAAGUAAAACUGAUUUGAUUUUUAUGUGAAAGAAAUAUAAGCUUAAUAUGGAAAAAAAUCUUAAAUACAAAAAAACUCUAAAAUUAACAAAAAACUAAUAAAAAUUAAACUAUGAUAUCAAUUGAAAGCUUCUUAGAUAAUAUUAAUAAAAUGUUUAAGCGAUUAUUACACAAAUUUGAUUUUUUUCGCGAGCCAAAAGUUUAUUAUUAAUUAUCAUCAGUUAUUUCAAGAUGUUUAAGAAAUGAUGGACUUAAAUGCUAUAUGAACUAUGAAUAGUAGUACUUUAUAAAGCUGACUUAGAUAACACAUAUGCACAUCAUUUCCAGUCCUUUUUGAUGCCUAAAUUUAAUUUCUUUACACCAGUUAUUUCACAAAGAGAUCGUAUGAGAUAUUGUUUUGAUAUUCAGAUUUGUUUCUUGACUGUUAAGAGGAUUGAUAACUGUAAAAAUUUCUCAUUCAAAGAUGAUAUGUCUAUAACCGAGUUCCCAACAUGAGACAAGUUUGUGUUUAAAAUUAAUAAUUUUAUUUUUCUUAUAUUAUAUAAUAAAUAUAUAUUAUUUACUGAUAAUAAAAAUAUAGUUAUUCAUCUAUCACAAAUAACUAUGUAAAUAUAUGAAUCAAGUACAACAAUCAAACAACAUAAUGAUUUCUACAAUGAAAAUUUAAAAAAAUAUUUAUGUUAUGUAGUCUUAUUUUAUAUUCUUUAAAUAAUAUAAUACAAUAUUAUACAUUGUUUUUCUUAGAAUUGAGAAAUACAUAUAAUAUCUUAUCCGCGCGUAGCACGGUUAAAAAAUCUAGUAUAGAGAAUGAUUGUCAACUAAUGUUCAAAAAUGAAUAUAAUAUAGAAAACACAAAGGUUUCGAUUAUCAGCAAGUCUGCCCAUAAUAUGUAGAUUUUACAAUUAUCAGACAAUCUACCCAGAAAAGUAGACUUUAUGUGAGUCCACUAUUAUUUCGCAGACGAAUUGAAGGUCUGCCAAGAAAAGGUCUGUCAUUUUUCAGCAGAUAACAAACUAGUCUAGCAGUUUAGAUUUUCAUGUCAGCACAAAAAUGUAGCCAUCAGGCGAGUCUAAAUCAUUUUUCACAAUAAUUCAUGGAUGCGUCAACAAUGGUGUUUUUUCCAUAAAUUAAUAUUUCCUUUUUUAAAAUAUCUGUUUCAUUUUAUUUAAUUAUUAUUAAUUUUGUUUUAAAUUUACUGUAUAUUAAUGAUUUCUUUUCUUUUUAAAAAGAUUUUUAAAACUUAAUUCAAUCAUGUGAUCAAAGGCAAUAUAGGAAUGUAUCUUUCUAAAAUCUUAACAAAAAUUGUAUAGGUUAUUUUAGAAAUUUUUAUAUAUUUGUAAGGUUACGAUGGCUAAUGUCAGAUACAUCUUUUAACAAAACAAGUAUGAAUAAUGCACGCGUAGUUAUUUAUCUAAUCUAUUAAAAGAGGAGUACAAAUUUGAAAUAAUCCUGAAUUUUCCUAAAAAAUUACAAGAGAUUGCCACUGGCAUUAAACACAGUCGUUUUACCUUAUUUAUAAACAAGCGACUCAAAUUUGAUCCUUGCUUUUUCAACUCGACAUAAUCAGUCACAACCAAAUAUUUCGGUCAGUUGGUCUUUUUUUUUUAAUGCUGGAUAGUUAUGCUAUUACAAACUAUAAGAAAUAUUACAGACGAUUCUACAGGCAACAAUUCUACAUGCCUUAUUAGGAUUCACGUCUAACUGCAUCACCUGAGGCGCCCUUUCGGAUCCACGCUUGAAGGUACUCCUAGUGCCAUGCUGCAGAUCUAUGAAAACGCUUAUUUAGGUACAUAAAUAUUCAAAUGAUCUAUUUAAAGUAUAUAUUCUAUAAAUAUUUCCAAAAUCUUUUAGUUUCAGUAUAUAUGGUAUAUUCAGAGAAUUUACUACAAAUAUACGUAAAUUAAAUGAAAUAUAUUGUUUUUGUCAACCUUAUAUGAUAUAUCACACUAACAUAUAUUAGCUUUAAUAUUAUUUUCCUAAAAUCACGUGAUAUCUUACUUAUUAUCCUUCACAUAUCUCAACUACAAUCUAAUAUUUGUGAUUUAGUUUUUUAAAAAACAAGCUUUACGUGAUAGAUACCCUAAUAUCUUAGCAUGAAUCUAUAAAUAAGGUCGACACAUAGCUCGACUUCUGCAGUACUAAACAGAGUCAAAAUGUCUUCAAAUAAGAGUGUCUCAUUACUCAAACUUGUCAAGCAUUUAAAAGUGGUUGAGUAACCUUUGUUGAUUUCUGAUGUAUGGGGAAAGUUCUUCACAAAUUGAAUUUACUGCUGAAAUCCAAACAUAGCGCCAAGUAAACUACUAACUUUUGUUGUUUCUGAUGUAUGGAGAAAGUUCUUCACGAACUGAAUUUACUGCUGAAAUCCAAACAUAGGGCCAAUUAAACUACUAACCUAUGUUGUUUCUGAUGUAUGGGGAAAGUUCUUCAGUUUUAAUCGAGAGUUGUUUUAAGUUCUUCGACCAUGUAUACUUUCAUGAAAGCUAAUGAAAUAUAAUACUAUAUUAUUAGCUGGACAAAAUACACAAACUUAACAGUCAAAAUUUAGUGCACGAACCAAUAAUCAAAUCUCAUCAUGAAUUUUGCAGGAACCAAUAAUCUAAUAAGCGACUGACUGCGCUAUAUUACAAAGUCAUGUUGGUCUUUACUUCUUAUAAAGCAAUACAUACAAGCAGUUAAAACUUAACAGACAAAAAUUAUAAGACGAACGAAAAUGGAAAAAGAAGUUCAAGUUUUAAUUAUACCUGUUUAUUAUUCAGCCUUUUCUUCUGAUGUCUGCAGCUAUUGGAACUAGGUGUGAUGGACCCCUGCUCCUCAAGUUCAUACACCUGUAGAUUAAAGGGAGGUGAAGAAAGAGAAUCAGUAACAAAAGAAAAUAAAAAUGACUUAGUCUCAAGCAAGUGACUAAAUCUCAAUGUUCAAAUCUACUCAGAAUUUGGCAACGGCGCCAAUUUGAUGUUAGGAGUUUUCAAGGCUCCUAAGACAAAUGUUGUAGUAUAAAAGAUUGUCGAACCAGUUCUGAGGGAUAUCAAAGCACUGAGAAUGCAAGUACUCACUUAAUCUAAGUGCAACCAAUGAUUUAGAAGUGUUUUAAACUAUGACUAAAACUAGAAAGCAAUAACAGAAUGAUACUUUCUUGACUAAAGGGAAAGAGAACUCAUGGGUAUAGGGAUUAGACCUUGGGUGAUCAAGUAUCGAACUAAGGAUGGCAAAUGAUCAAUCAAACUAUCAACCUUAAGCCUAGACACAAUUCUAAGCAAGCUCUAUGUCUAGAUGAAUGCUCAUUUGCUAACAUAUCUCAAACAUCAAAUGUCUUUGGUUGAAUAAUAUGAAAGCAAUCAUUACUAACAAGUCUAUUAGCUAUCUUAGCAUCUUUAACAACAAAUGUCUUUGGCAAAGUAUACUAAAAGCCUAGGAGAGUUGUCUCGGGCAUUUCAUCGAACACCUUUCGGGUGAGAAAUGCCUAAGGAUCAACAACUGAGUGGCCAACUCAGAAGAUGCAUUAUGAUUACUCUACUAGCAAGGAAAUAUGAAUGAUCUACACUAAAACAUCCUAGCUCUAACCUAAUCACCCUUAAUCUCCCUAACCCAUGAAUUCCAAAGGUGAUUACUCACUAAUCUCCAUGAUUCCUCUUAAACCCAUAUUGGAUUUCAGAUUAAUCAUGUAGAGAAACACAGGAAAUAGAUAAGAACACAGAAUUCUCAAUAAUAAACUGAUCAAUUCAUUCAAAAAGAUCCCUUUCCAAAGGUUUUUGGUGGUUUUUCUAAGAACAAAGAUAUCCUCCCCCUGGUGGCUUACAGAGUAAUAAAACAUAGGUUUAGAAAAUAAAAACGUGCAUAAUGAAAUGACCAAAAUGCCCUUGAGAAAACACAAGUUCGAGCAGAAACAAAACACGGAGCGACCUCAGACUGUCGCUCCGACAAGUCGCUCCAAGCUUCGGGAGCGACCUCGCUGUGUCGCUGCGAGAGGUCGCUCCGGGCUUGUUCUCGCGUCUCCGGGUGGUGAAUUCGCGAGCGACUUCUUCCUGUCGCUCUGGGACGUCGCUCCAAGCUUCGGGAGCGACUUCAGCACGUCGCUCUGGAAGGUCGCUCCGAGCUUGUUCUCGCGUCUCCCAGUGAUGAAAACGCGAGCGACCUUGCUGUGUCGCUCUGGAUGAGUCGCUCCGGGAUGUGGUGCACAGCGACCUCAUGCCGUCGCUCCGAAAGGUCGCUCCAGCAGUGCUCGUCCAAAGCUCACUCUAAUCACCUCCUUUUGAGCUCCAAAUGCACUCAAAUGUCUCCAGAAACUCCAUGUGGUGCUCAACUACCUGAUAGAGACAUAUGUAUGCAAAAUGCAACCUAGACAUGGCUAAAUCCUAAACUAUAUGAUGAAAAUGCACAUGAAUAAAUGGAUAAAACAAUGUAAAUAUGCAAGAUAUCAACUCCCCCAAACUUGUUCUUUUACUUGUCCUCAAGUGAACUUUCUAGAACUUGCAAGGAAGAGAGGUUGAAGGUGGGAGCACAUAGCCAAAAGAAACACAACUAGCACACUCUCUUAUUACACUCUAGCUUCUCUAGGCCUAUCUUAACUCUUUUUGUUCUUACACUCAUCAUCAAGCAUCCACACAUUCAAAUCAACCAACUCUCACAUUCAUUAAGCACAAAACAUCAGGUGAAUUCUUGCAAAUGGUCAGUUGGUCCAAGUCAUUUGGUUGGGUAAGGGAAGGCUUUUAUUCAAGUGAUUCAAGAGGUUCAAAACAUAUGAUCUUUAAGGUGGUUUACUCUCAAAACAAGUAGCCUUGACAUUGCACAUAAUAUAUCUAAGAAAGGGACCAACUCAUGCAUACAAUGCUCAAUCUCCAUUGUUCUACCCUUUUCCCAAACAUAUCAUUACACAAUCAUUCCCAAAUGUCAAACCCAACUCACAUCUCUCACCAAAAGAUCUUAAGAACUUUAACUCUUUCUUUUUGAAAUCUACAAGGGAUUUUUCUACAACCUCAAAACAUUUCUUAGCUCCUAACAACCUUGCUAGCCCCCUUUUCUUUCUUUUCUUUUUUUUUUUUUUCGAUUUCUUUUUUUUUUUUAUUUUUUUUUUUUUUUUUUUUUUUUUUUAGGUUGGGGGCCAAGACUUUUCAAAACUAGAGCUAGAGGUUCUCUACUUAUCCCAGAAAAUCAAUUCACUUAAGCACAAAGAGUCUAUUCUUUUUCCUUUUUCAUUUCUCCCAAAUCAUAAUCACAACACUCACCCCCACCUAUAGCUAGACAAUAGAGUAUCCAAUCUAGCAAGAAUGAAGAUCAAGCAUUGUCGUUCCCGAUACUCUCAACAUUAUGCACAUGUAAGACUUUCCGAAAAAGGCCUCACUCAUCAAACAAUGAAAGCUUAAAAGGAGGAAAAGGUUUUGGGAGUGGUCUACCACUAGAGUUUGUCAAAAAAAGAUUGGUAUAAAAGAUGUGACAACUCAAGUGUGUAUAGCCAUGACUCAGUACACAAGGGACCAUGAGCAAGAAGCAUUAAGUUCGUUCAGUUCAAAUAAGGUUGUAGUUGGCUUCAAAGACUGAGUUUCAGCAAUCAACAAGUUUCAGGAAGAGUUUUCAAGGCUCGAAACAUACAAGUCUUUUUGAGAGGUGCAAAAGCUAGUCAAGUGCAACGUAGUGUUCUUUACAAGGCAUUCAAAUCAUUGCUCCCAAUGCAAGUGAAUGCAACCUAUAUGCUCUAGACUCUCCUAAAAAUGCAAAUGAUGCAAACUAAAUGAUUGAUUUUUUUUUUAAUCUAUGCAAAUAGGUAUGCCAUGCAUGACUCAAUGAAACAACAUCAAAGCAAACAUGAUCAAAUACUUGGUACCUCCCCCAAACUUGAGUGACACAGUCUCUGUGUCGUCAAGUAGAGAGAGAGAUACCGAAAAGAAGACUAAUAUGCAAAAAUGAAAUGGUAUAUACAAGGGAGUAUGGUGGGUUACCUUCUAUAGGGAAUGAGUAGAGGGAGAUGCUCCCUCCUCGUCGUCCUCAGGUGGUAACUCUUCAAGGUGCUCAUCAGCAGGGGUGUCCAUCUCUUCAAUGUAGAAGGCUUGCCCGAACACAGUUGGUUUCCUCAUUUUCCUCUUGAUGUCAAAGUGGAGGAUGUUCUCUUUACCCAAAUGGAGAUCAAUCGUGCCCUCCUUCACAUUAACAAUAGCUCCUGCUGUAGCUAAGAAUGGCCUUCCUAGAAUCAAUGGAUCUUGAGCCUCCUCACCCAUCUCAAGCACCACAAAAUCUGUAGGUAUCUCAUACCUUCCAAUCUUCACAGGGAGGUCCUCUAAGAUGCCCACAGGAUACUUCACUGAACGAUCAGCUAACACCAGAGAGAGUCUACACUUCUUGUACUGAGUGAAUCCAAGCUUCUUUGCAACAGACAAAGGCAUCAAGCUGACACUAGCUCCCAAAUCGCAGAGACUUUUCUCAAAUACCAUAGGUCCAAGAGCACAAGGUAGUGUGAAGCUUCCUGGAUCCUCUAAUUUCUCUGGAACAUCAAGCCUCUGGAUGAUGGCAUUGCACUCAUGGGUAAGAGUCAUCAUGCUUUCCAUCUCCUUCUUCUUUGCAGCUACAACAUCUUUCAGGAAAUUGUUGUAUUGAGGAAUCAACAUGAAAGCAUCGAUGAUGGGCAUUGCAACCUGAGCUUCACUCAUUUGCUUCUCAAACAGAGCUUUGUAUUUCUCUAGCAGCUGCUUCUUGAAUCUACCAGGGAAUGGAAGUUUGGGUUCAUAGGGAGGAGGAACAAAAGAACUUUCACUUGCUGGAGUAACAACUUCACCAUCCUUUACUGUCUUCUUCUCCUCUCCAACCUUUCCUUUACCUUUGGCUUCCACUAUCUUCUCCAAGAUCUCGUCAUUGAUCUUCUCAUCAACAAUCACCACUUCAUCAUCUAUGUUGAUGGCAACCCCCUCUCAUAAUUUCUCAGCAUCCUUGGUGAGGGUUCUAGGAGGUAACUGCUUACCGCUCCUAAGGGUGAUAGCUUUGGCCUCCUUGGGAUUUUGGUCAGACUUUCCAGGUAGAGAUCCUUGCUGGCGAUUCUGGUGAGUGUUCAUGGAAGCAAAUUGAUUCUCUAAAUUCCUGACUGUAGAAGCAAGGUGUGAGAAUUUGUUGUUGAGCUCAUUGUAGCUCCCAUCAAUCUUGGAAUGAAGGUUCUUCAACUCAUAACCAACUUGCUUCUCACUUCUAGUCUGAGACUCCAAGAUUUGCUUCAGUAAGGUAUCAGUGCUGCUCUCUUGAGGAGCAGAGGAACCAGACGAGGGGUUUUGCUGAGGCUGAUAGCUGCCUUGCUGGUUGUUUCUUGGCGGAUAGCCACUCUGCUGGUUGUUGGAAUAGGACUUCUGUUGGUAGUUGUUGUACUGAAAGUUGGGUUCUUUCUUGUACCAGCUACCAUUGUUGUUGAUGAAACACAGCUCUUCCUGACCUUCCAAACCCUCAACUUCAUGGACAAUAGCUGGUGUCUCUUGGCUUGGGUUGCCGACAAAGUGCAGCUGCUCUUGGGUAGCUUUAUCAGCAAGGAGGAUGUCUAUCUUAUCCUGUAGAGCUUUCAACUCCUUCCUCGUUUGCUUAUCCUCAGUUCUACUGCUUCUGUCGUGGUCUCCACUGUAGACUGCAUCACUCUUUACCAUGUUGUCAACCAGUUCUUCUGCAUCCUCCUCAGUUCUCCCCAAGAAGAACCCAUUGCUAGCUGUAUCCAGUCUGGCUCUGUACUUAGGAAGAGCACCACGGUAGAAUGUGCUCAGCAAGCUCUCCUUAGAAAAGCCAUGGUGUGGGCAUUGAGCUUGGUAGCCCUUGAAUCUCUCCCAGGCUUCACUGAAGCCUUCCAAGUUCUUCUGUUGAAAGCUGGAAAUCUCGUUUCUCAGCUUAGCAGUUCUUGAAGUAGAGAAGAACUUCUCCAAGAAUGCUUUCUUGCAGUCAUCCCAAGUAGUGAUGGAGUCACUGGGUAGAGACUUCUCCCACUGACGUGCCUUAUCCCCAAAGAGAAAGGGAAUAGCUUGAGCUUUAAGGCAUCUUCGGACACACCAUUGGUUUUUGACAACCCACAGUAGCUGUCGAACCUGUCCAAGUGAUCAAAUGGAUCCUCUAGAGCCAAGCCAUGAUACUUGUUGUUCUCGAUCACGUUGAGGAGUCCUGAUUUGAUCUCAAAGUUGUUGGCUGCCACAGCGGGUGCUCGGAUUCCCAAUCUAUGACCAUGAAUGUUGGGGCGGUCGUAAGUGCCAAUGGGUCGAGCUGCUCGCUGUUGGUUUUGAGGUAUGUCUCCCAUAUCAGUACUCAAUCUCUGCAAGUGAGCCUGUUGCUCUUCUUCUCUUCUAUUUCUAGCACACUCUCUCUCUAAAGCUCUGAUGUCUGCAGCUAUUGGAACUAGGUUUGAUGGACCCCUGCUCCUCAAGUUCAUACACCUGUAGAUUAAAGGGAGGUGAAGAAAGAGAAUCAGUAACAAAAGAAAAUAAAAAUGACUUAGUCUCAAGCAAGUGACUAAAUCUCAAUGUUCAAAUCUACUCAGAAUUUGGCAACGGCGCCAAUUUGAUGUUAGGAGUUUUCAAGGCUCCUAAGACAAAUGUUGUAGUAUAAAAGAUUGUCGAACCAGUUCUGAGGGAUAUCAAAGCACUGAGAAUGCAAGUACUCACUUAAUCUAAGUGCAACCAAUGAUUUAGAAGUGUUUUAAACUAUGACUAAAACUAGAAAGCAAUAACAGAAUGAUACUUUCUUGACUAAAGGGAAAGAGAACUCAUGGGUAUAGGGAUUAGACCUUGGGUGAUCAAGUAUCGAACUAAGGAUGGCAAAUGAUCAAUCAAACUAUCAACCUUAAGCCUAGACACAAUUCUAAGCAAGCUCUAUGUCUAGAUGAAUGCUCAUUUGCUAACAUAUCUCAAACAUCAAAUGUCUUUGGUUGAAUAAUAUGAAAGCAAUCAUUACUAACAAGUCUAUUAGCUAUCUUAGCAUCUUUAACAACAAAUGUCUUUGGCAAAGUAUACUAAAAGCCUAGGAGAGUUGUCUCGGGCAUUUCAUCGAACACCUUUCGGGUGAGAAAUGCCUAAGGAUCAACAACUGAGUGGCCAACUCAGAAGAUGCAUUAUGAUUACUCUACUAGCAAGGAAAUAUGAAUGAUCUACACUAAAACAUCCUAGCUCUAACCUAAUCACCCUUAAUCUCCCUAACCCAUGAAUUCCAAAGGUGAUUACUCACUAAUCUCCAUGAUUCCUCUUAAACCCAUAUUGGAUUUCAGAUUAAUUAUGUAGAGAAACACAGGAAAUAGAUAAGAACACAGAAUUCUCAAUAAUAAACUGAUCAAUUCAUUCAAAAAGAUCCCUUUCCAAAGGUUUUUGGUGGUUUUUCUAAGAACAAAGAUAUCCUCCCCCUGGUGGCUUACAGAGUAAUAAAACAUAGGUUUAGAAAAUAAAAACGUGCAUAAUGAAAUGACCAAAAUGCCCUUGAGAAAACACAAGUUCGAGCAGAAACAAAACACGGAGCGACCUCAGACUGUCGCUCCGACAAGUCGCUCCAAGCUUCGGGAGCGACCUCGCUGUGUCGCUGCGAGAGGUCGCUCCGGGCUUGUUCUCGCGUCUCCGGGUGGUGAAUUCGCGAGCGACUUCUUCCUGUCGCUCUGGGACGUCGCUCCAAGCUUCGGGAGCGACUUCAGCACGUCGCUCUGGAAGGUCGCUCCGAGCUUGUUCUCGCGUCUCCCAGUGAUGAAAACGCGAGCGACCUUGCUGUGUCGCUCUGGAUGAGUCGCUCCGGGAUGUGGUGCACAGCGACCUCAUGCCGUCGCUCCGAAAGGUCGCUCCAGCAGUGCUCGUCCAAAGCUCACUCUAAUCACCUCCUUUUGAGCUCCAAAUGCACUCAAAUGUCUCCAGAAACUCCAUGUGGUGCUCAACUACCUGAUAGAGACAUAUGUAUGCAAAAUGCAACCUAGACAUGGCUAAAUCCUAAACUAUAUGAUGAAAAUGCACAUGAAUAAAUGGAUAAAACAAUGUAAAUAUGCAAGAUAUCAUUUCAGUAUAUAUGGUAUAUUCAGAGAAUUUACUACAAAUAUACGUAAAUUAAAUGAAAUAUAUUGUUUUUGUCAACCUUAUAUGAUAUAUCACACUAACAUAUAUUAGCUUUAAUAUUAUUUUCCUAAAAUCACGUGAUAUCUUACUUAUUAUCCUUCACAUAUCUCAACUACAAUCUAAUAUUUGUGAUUUAGUUUUUUAAAAAACAAGCUUUACGUGAUAGAUACCCUAAUAUCUUAGCAUGAAUCUAUAAAUAAGGUCGACACAUAGCUCGACUUCUGCAGUACUAAACAGAGUCAAAAUGUCUUCAAAUAAGAGUGUCUCAUUACUCAAACUUGUCAAGCAUUUAAAAGUGGUUGAGUAACCUUUGUUGAUUUCUGAUGUAUGGGGAAAGUUCUUCACAAAUUGAAUUUACUGCUGAAAUCCAAACAUAGCGCCAAGUAAACUACUAACUUUUGUUGUUUCUGAUGUAUGGAGAAAGUUCUUCACGAACUGAAUUUACUGCUGAAAUCCAAACAUAGGGCCAAUUAAACUACUAACCUAUGUUGUUUCUGAUGUAUGGGGAAAGUUCUUCAGUUUUAAUCGAGAGUUGUUUUAAGUUCUUCGACCAUGUAUACUUUCAUGAAAGCUAAUGAAAUAUAAUACUAUAUUAUUAGCUGGACAAAAUACACAAACUUAACAGUCAAAAUUUAGUGCACGAACCAAUAAUCAAAUCUCAUCAUGAAUUUUGCAGGAACCAAUAAUCUAAUAAGCGACUGACUGCGCUAUAUUACAAAGUCAUGUUGGUCUUUACUUCUUAUAAAGCAAUACAUACAAGCAGUUAAAACUUAACAGACAAAAAUUAUAAGACGAACGAAAAUGGAAAAAGAAGUUCAAGUUUUAAUUAUACCUGUUUAUUAUUCAGCCUUUUCUUCAGAAACUGAUACCGGGAUAAUUCAGUCUCCAACAGAAAUUCUCUGAGUUACUGAAACAAGAAUUCAAAAAAUAAAGCAUAAAUAAGUUAGCUUAUGAAGUGAAUUGUAUACUCCCCGUGUUUGUGGAAUUCCUAAAACAUUAUUUUACACUUAGCUUUUGAAGUGAAUUGUAUACUCCCCGUGUCUUAGCUCCCCAAUUUUCUUCACAUCUCUCUCGAAUUAUUCCUGCAGCUUGACAAGGUUAGAGAACGUAAACUUUUUGAUCGGCCUCGGCCAAGGUCACAAUCUUUGUUAAGCAGAGCAUUCGCUUCAUAGUUGUAAUCAAGCUCAGCAGAGAACAACAAGCUUCCCCAAGUUGCAGAAUCUGUUUUAGGAGAUCAGCUGAAGUCAUCUCCACCAGAAAUCUUGAAACCAUUGUCUCCCACACUCUCAGAUUAAAGACUCUGAUGGCAUUACACCAACCACAAUAGCUGCACCAGCACUAAUGGCUAUUAAGGAAGAUACUUCAAGGAAUAUUCUUUUGUGAUUAACAAGAAUUACAUUAAUCGCAAUCCUUUACUGAUUGGAGACAAGUCAGGUUGCAACUCAACACAAUUAUCACUGCCCACCGACUCAUCUGCAUUACGAGGUCGUAAUCUUACAGCCACUCGAACUCUCCCAAGCACUGUUAAAAGAGAAUAUACGUCAUUGAAAAAAAACAUGAUUCUCUUUUACAAAAACAAAGUUUUUUAAAAUCUUUUUUGACUGUCCAUCAAAUAUUGGAGAAGCAAGUAAAAGGCCAACCAUAAACACAGAAACAAAAGUCCAUCUUGAAAGUUGGUUAAGCUAAACUCUUCUCUGUAUUACAUAUACAUGCAAGAGACACAUCUCUCAGUUAAUUGUUUAAAGAUUACUUCUGCUCAAUAAAAAGCUCAGUUGUUGAGAAAUUAAAGAAAAGAUUCACUGCCCCCGUGGAGAAGUAAGUACCAAUGCUUAACAAAAAACUAUCAUUUACUUUUUUAGUUACAAGAAUAAAUUUUUUUGUUGGUCUUUUGCGCCAAAAAAAAAAAAAAUUGAUGGGCCAACUAACUUUGUCAAAUUCAUUUAUAUUUUGUUUUUGGCAAAAUAAAUAGAAAGAUAACAUCUAAAUUAUCUUUACCGAGAAUGUAUAAUAUUUUUUAAAAAUUUUUAAAAUAGAACAUCAGUUUAUGUAAAAUAAUUAUAUUACAGUAUUUCUAUAUUAAAAUAAUAUUUAUUACUAUAAUAUAUGACGUGGUUUCGCCCUGAUUUAUGAAUGUUAGUUAUUGUUGUAAAAAAAAUAUUUAUUACAAAAAGCAUAAAGUGGUAAAAUUAAAAUAAACCUAUAAAUUUUAUAAAUUUGAUUAAAAUAAAUUAUAAAAAACUUAAUAUAUUAAAUAAUUUUCAUAUAAAUGUAAUUCAAAAACUUAUUGAUCUAAUAUAAAAUUAUGUAAUAUAUUUAAUUGAUUAUGUCAAUAUCGAAAACCAAAUAAGCAACCAACAUAACCUAUAAAUACUUUUAAAACAUGGUCAAAAUGUCUAGAUCAAACAACAAGAUCUACAUCACUUAUUUAUAAAUCAAGCAACAAUAUAAUAUCUAUAUUAUUUAUGAACAAAGUCAAACAUAUACAAACAUGUACUAACCAAAAACAACUAUAAAUGUUAUAUGUUAAAAAGUAAAAUAACAGCCGCGCGGGUCAAAAACUAGUUUUCAAUUAAAGUUAUAAAACUUUAUUUGAGUAGUAAAGAGUUAAAUUGGAUUUUUGAAAUGACGACAAUUUUGUAUAAGCAGUUAUGUACUUUUUAGUGUAAGCUAGUUUAAAUUUAUAUAAUGAUAAAUACUAUUAAAAGAAUUGCUAAUUUCUAUCCUUAAUGAAAAAUGUUUUAUAAUUACAAGUAAAAACAAUACUGUAUCUAUCUUGUUAAAACAUAAAUAUUGUAUUGGACCUAAAAUUUAUUUUGUAAGUUAUUAAAUUAGAAUUAUUCUUGGGUUCACCCUAAAGGGUGAACCUAUAGAUUCACCAACCACUAGGAUUGUGUUAUUUUAUAUUCGAUAUCUUUCAAAAAAGAAAACAAAAUAUAUUUAAAUUAUAUUAUGUUUUAAAAUUAAAAAAAAGUAAAAAUAAAUAAAUAAAUAAAAAUAAAUGUAAUUACAGAAAAAAAUAUUUUUUAACAUCAUCAGCAAAAUACUAAAUCUUAAACCCUAAAUCCUAAACCCUUGGAUAAAUCCUAAAACCUAAAUCAAAAACACUAAACCCUAAAUCCUAAACCUUAAACCCUUGAGUGUUUUAGUGUUUAAUGUUUUUGAUUUAGAGUUUAGGAUUUAUCCAAAAGUUUAGAGUUUAUCAAAAGGUUUACGGUUUAGAAUUUAGAGUUUUGGAUUAGGAUUUAAGGUUUAUGAUUUAGUGUUUUGCUGACGAUUUUAAAAAUAUUUUUCUUUUAAAUAUUUUUUUCUGUAGGUAUUACUAUUUUUAUAUAUAUAUUUUUUACAAUUUUAUUUUAAAAACAUAAUAUAACUUGACAAUAUUUUGUUUCUUUUUUUUAUAAAAAUAUAGAAUAUGAAAUAACACAAUCAUAUGGGUUGGUGAACAUAUAGAUUCACCCUAGGGUGAACCCAAGAAUAAGUCUUUAAAUUAAAUAUAACAUUCAACUUUAUAGUUAAAGUUCAUUAAAUCAUUAAUAUUCCUUUCUUUAUACUACUAUAUCCAUGUUUUCAAACAAUAUACUUAAUUUUUUUACUACGAUCCAUGUGUCCAAACAACAUUAUAAUUAAUCUUUUGUUCAAAUAAUAUAAAAUAUUAUAUCUUUUUUUUUAUAAUUUCUAACAAUUUUAUUUCAAAUUAUUCUGAUAAAUUAAAUAAUGAGAAAAUUCAAAUAAUUUAUAUAACAACAAAAAUAAAUAGAACUUAUUUUGCAGGUUUAAAUACUACAAAAGUUCAAUAAUAAAUAAAUUAAAUUAAUGGAUUAUUUUACUUAAAUUUUCUAAAUAAUUGUUAUACUGUUUAAGUAACAUAAUAAGUCAAUAAUAACCAUAAUAUAAAAAAUAUAAAGUUAUAAAUUGUACAAUAAAUAUAAUAGCAAAAAUAAUUAUGAAAAAUGUUCCAAAAAUAUUGUAUCUACAUAAAAAUGCUUAACACAAAUUUAAACUGAUUAUAAUAUAUCGAAUCACCGGAUUACUCGGUUUGACCGCGGGUUCGGGUCAAAUUUAAAAACACUGAUUUAAAUGAAAAUUAUUUUAAAUACAAAAAAUUCUUACAAAUUAACAAAAUAUAUUAGUAAAAAAAUUCAUGAUAAAAUAUUAUGCGCUUGCAAAGCGCGGAUCAAAAUCUAGUGGUGUUUUAAAGCUAACAACAAAGAUUUUAUUAUAUUACAAGCUAGACUAGAUAUGAAAUAGUAGAUUGCUUUAAUAAAAAUACCAAUACAAAAAAAAAAAUAUCGAGACAUGUGAAUGUGAUUUAACCUCUUCUAAGCUUCUCAAAAAGGUUGUUUAUUCAACCAUAUAUGUAAACAUAGAUCCUAUUAAUUCUCUACUUGCAGCUAGAUACAUUUUUGUUAUAUAAAUAAUGGAAAAAGAUAGCAUAAAUCUUUAAUCAGAGCAUAUAUCUAAGCGAUCUACUUCUACGAGAUAAAUUCUAAAACUUCUUACGCGACUAGAGGCUUUCCCUAUGUGUUAAAGUUUUGCAGCAUCCCAAGAUCCUAUGAUACCUCCUAACCUCUGGACCUUUUCUUCAGAAGCAUACCAUUCGGGUAUAAUCUUUGAUGCGUACGGGUACAUAUCCUUAGCAGAGCUCUUGAUAGUAUUCUCCACAACUUCCGCAGCGAUCGCAAUUUCUGCAAAAAAAAAAAAAACAAGAAUUAUCAGAAACUCGCCCUACCUUACAGUCCAAGUUACCUAAAACUUCUAGUUUUUAAAAAAAAAGUAAGAACUAAAGAAGAAUUGUUUUAAUCACCUCGAGUAGGUCUCCUAUUGUUCUGAGACAGCUGACAUAUCAUGAAGAUAAUAGCAGCAAGAACCGACUUAGGGUUUCUCCGGAUAUCGUAAUUCUCAGCUACUUCAACAGCUUCUCCAAUGGCCUUUGUCUCUCUUUCCUUUAUGUUUAGUUUAGAACAGAACCGGCGUACAAGUUCUCUUGUUUUGAUAAUCACCUGAGGAGCAGCACAAGAAGAAGAAUCUGUCGUCUCCCCUUGAUCUGACUCGAGUAGACGCCUUAUAGCCAUACUAGCUCUAUUUAUUUCUUUCAAACUCACACCGUGAGCCACCAUAGAGAUCUCUUUCAACGUCCUCGAGAGAUUCAUCUCACGACAAGCCGUCGAAACAGAAGCCGCGCAGACAGCGACAAAGUGUUUCUGUCUGCUUAGUCUCUUCCUAUAGUCACCAUCUAACUUGGACACAAUCUCGCAAGCCCUAAACUCGACACUGCUAACAAGACCUAGAUCAUCCGUCAUUCUCUUGAUUUCUUUGCACGCUUUCACGAUCAUAUCCUCUUCAGAGUUCCUGACGAGAUUCUCGACGCGGCACAAGUCAUUCUUGGAGUUGGAGGUAGUUUUGUCGAUGAUGGUGCCGAUACCUCCGGAUUUGAGAAGAGGGUUGGUAGGAGCACCGACGCGGUUAGGGUCUCGGUCGCUGCUGUUAUCGUCGUUGGCGAACGUUCUCCAUUCUUGGCUGUCGUCGAUGUAGUGAUCGGAGAUGACGAGGCUACACUCUGUGCAGAUUGUGUCGCCGGUUCUUAUGUCGAUCACUGUUUCAGUGGCUCUCUUGCAGUCCAAGCAAGUGUCCAUUAUUUCUCAGAUGUUAAGUGUUUCUUUGUUCUUGUGGGAUGAUUGUUUUGAUGGGUUGAUACUUGAGGUUUGAUGUAAGUUGUUGUUGUUUUUAUAGGAGAUGGUGACGGAUGAGAAUGGACUAAAGUUAAGUUUCCUUUUCCUAAGAGGAUUUCGAUGAUUGGUUUUACAAGUCUACUAUUAAUAAAGGAAAAUUUCCUUUUUCUAGAUUCACACCUUCAAAUUUAUUUAUUAUGCAUCUUUUUAAAUUAAAAUAAUAUAGAUUUUGGGCAUGUAAUUUCUCUUUUAAAUAUACAAUAUUUUGUAACGACCCAGAUUUUUCUGGUGGGCCAGUUUGGCCUUUAUUAAAAAUUAAAGUCUAAUUCUCUCUUUUUACUUUGUCCCACAUUGGAUGUAUAGAAAACCUACCUCCCUUCCCUUCUCCUAUAUAAGAAACUCCAUCCUUUCUCUUUAUUCUCAUCAAGUCAAAGUAUUUCUUUGCGUGUGACGAGUUGUUGUUGAAUUAUUCGACGACCAGUCACUAGUGAAUUUUCCGGUGGGAUUUCCGGGUGAGCUUCCGGCGAGAUUUCUGGACGAGCUUCCGGUGAGAUUUCUAGACGAGCUUCCGGCGGGUUUUCUAGUAAGUUUGUUGCCUCCUUAUUUCUAGUUAUAGGAAUAUUUUAAGAAAGUUUCUAAUUUAGGAAAUAAGUUAUAUUAGGAAAGUUUCUAUUUUAGGAAAGUUUCCAUUUUAGGAAAGUUGCUAUUUUAGGAAAGUUUCUAUUUUAGGAGAGGUUUCAUUUUAGGAAAGUUUCCAUUUUAAGAAACUUAUUUCCAGAGAAGCUGAGCUUAAGUCGUUGAUUCUCGUGUUGCAGUUGACCUCAGCUGACCGCAUCUUCCGUUGUUCAUUUCAGCCUGUGGCUAAGGUGAGGGCUAUCCCAUUAAAUCCCGAGCUAGUUUAGUACUACUAUUAUGGAAAGUUUAGUUUCGAAACAUGAUCCGUCUCUGUGAAUUGAGUCUGUUUGAGAGUCUUGUUUGUUUAUUAUUACUAUUGAUUGUUAAACCGAAAAUAGGAUAAUAGAGGAUUCAACGGUUGACUGAAUUGAAUGAAUUAAGAACUGUUAUUUAUAUAUGUAUAUACAUAAGUCUGUUAUGAGAUUGCGGGGCACAAAGAUGUUGUGCUAACGGCGCAUUGUGUGGAGAUUGCGGGACACAGAGACGUUUGUGUUAGCGGCGCAUUGUAUGGAGAUUGCGGGGCAUAUGGACGUCUAUGCUAGCGGCGCAUUGUAUGAGGGAUUGCGGGGUACAAAGACGUUUGUACUAGCGGCGCAUAGGUGAUUGCGGGGUACAAGGAUGGACUCUUGUACUAGCGGCGCAUAGAGUUAUAUAUUUAUAUCCGUAUAAGGAGAAUGCGGGGUGUGUGAUCUAGUUAUGCACUAUCAGCGCAUUUGAUGUUUUUAUGUGGUGUAUUAGACACUGUGUUUGUUUUAUGCUAGAACUAGGCCUACAUAGUCGUAGUGCUAUGUACUGAGUCAGUGGUUUGUGGUUUAGCAUCCCAUACCUCACGGAGUAACUCCCCUGUUACUCACCCCUCCUUCUUUCCCCCUUUCAGGUGAGACUGACGAGCAGGAGUGAUUGCUAUCGGAUUGGUGCUUUGGGAGUUUUAUUUCUUUCUUUUUCAAACUUGCGGAUUUUAUGCUUUUAUCGAUAUUCUCGAGAUUUAUUAUGUUAUUUGGAUUUAUGGCUAUUUAUUGGAUUUACGACUUUGGAGUUGACUUUUGAGAAGUAAUAAAUGGAGAUUUCAGAAUUUUAUUUGUUUAUUUUAUUUUGGAAAAUACGGGUGUUACAAUUUGGUAUCAGAGCGGGUUCCGUCCCGGCUCUGACCCGGGAUGGCGAUUUGUUGGGACAUAGUUUCGACUCGGUUUUUAAUCGGUUUUAGACAUUUUUAAAAUAUUUAUGGGAAUAUGGGAGUUUUAAAAAUAAAAGUAAAUAGCACCUUUCUGUUUGGUAUUGUGUCUAGAAUCGUUGGUGUUCGGUUUCGGCAGAAGUUUAUUGAGGUGCUUUUUCCUUUCAGAUGCCGCCGCGUAAGAGAGUUGUUCGCACUCAGUCCGCUAGUGCUUCACGAGAGGGUGGAGAUGAGAAUGUGCCGCCACCGGUUCCACCGAUUGAUCAGGAUGCCCUUAGGCAGAUGGUGCAGGAUGCUGCCAGACAGGCUGCACAUGAGGCAGUUCAGCAAGCUGUCCAGGAGGCUGCUAGAGUAGCUGCACAGGAAGUGGUUAGGCAGAUGGCUGCAGCUCAGCAGGUUCCGCCAGUUCAGGUUCAGGGGCAUCAGCAGCCCCCUAUUCAGCCGGUUCCACCAGUUCAGGUUCAGGGGCAGCAGCAGCCCCCUAUUCAGCAGGUUCCUGAGGUUGAUGAGACGCUUAUGCAGGUGAUGAAACAGAUGAAAACUGUGGAUUUGGAGACUUUUGGGGGAACAGUAGACCCUUUUCAGGCUUAUAAUUGGAAGCAUAGAUUAGCUACGUGUAUGCAGACUAUCAAUUGUCCGUUGCGCCUUUGCCUUAAUAUCGCAGAGUUGUAUCUGCGUGGGAAUGCAUUAGUAUGGUGGGAUGGAGUGCAAUCGAUGCGUGAUGGCGAUAUGACUUAUGAGGAUUUCCUCAUUGCGUUCGACAAGAAGUAUUUUCCUAGAGAAGCAUUGCACCAGAAGAAGAAUGCUUUUGAGCAUCUGAGGCAGGGUACUAGGAGUGUCAGAGAGUAUGAGCGGGAGUUUUGCCAACUCCGCUUGUUUGCUGGUAAUAAUUUUGAUGCGGAGGACUUGAUCAGGAGAUUCUUAGAUGGGAUGCGAGUUGAUCUUCGCGGCAGGUGCAGUAUGGUUACUUACACAAGCUUGGAGGAUCUGGUAGAGAAGGCUGCUGUGCAGGAGGCAUGUAUUGCAGAGGAGCAGAAGUACUCUAAGGCCCAACCUAAGACUGAAAGAACUUCAGGGUCACCGAACAUGGCAGGGGAUCAGUCAGGAACACCCAGUUGUGAGCGCUGCCAUCGCUACCAUUUUGGAGAUUGCGUCAUGUGUUUUGCAUGUGGGCGGUUAGGCCAUGUGGCCAAGUAUUGUCGAUUUACAAAAGUGGAUGGUACUGGUACCGGACAGGUUACAGCACCAACGACACUAGCAGCGGCUUCAAAGAAGUGUUAUGGCUGUGGCCAGCCUGGUCACAUUUUCAGGGAUUGCCCGAGGGGGGGACGUGUAGAGAAUCCAUCACCAGCUAAGCGCCAGGCUAUCGCACCACGAGAAUUUGCAGCAAGAGGCAACGAGAGAGUUGAGCCGGCUGAUGGUAUGUAUCUUUUCACCUUGGUAGUUUACGUUUGUGCAUGUUGUCUUUUGCGGUUAUCAUGUGUUUAAAAAAAAAAAGUUGUGCUUAAGAUCAGUAGCGGCUGAGUAUGAGAGAUUUCACCUUAUUUGAUAUGGGAGGACCACAUAGUUUGGAGUGUCUACAGCGAACAAGCGUCUUUAUAACAAAGUUAAGUCAUGCUGAAGACAUCUUAUUCCUUUUCUUGGCUCAGGAUUUGAAUUCGGGGACGAAUUCCUUCUUAGUGGGGAAGAAUUGUAACGAGCCAGAUUUUUCUGGUGGGCCAGUUUGGCCUUUAUUAAAAAUUAAAGUCUAAUUCUCUCUUUUUACUUUGUCCCACAUUGGAUGUUUAGAAAACCUACCUCCUUUCCCUUCUCCUAUAUAAGAAACUCCAUCCUUUCUCUUUAUUCUCAUCAAGUCAAAGUAUUUCUUUGCAUGUGACGAGUUGUUGUUGAAUUAUUCGACGACCAGUCACUAGUGAAUUUUCCGGUGGGAUUUCCGGGUGAGCUUCCGGCGAGAUUUCUGGACGAGCUUCCGGUGAGAUUUCUAGACGAGCUUCCGGCGGGUUUUCUAGUAAGUUUGUUGCCUCCUUAUUUCUAGUUAUAGGAAUAUUUUAAGAAAGUUUCUAAUUUAGGAAAUAAGUUAUAUUAGGAAAGUUUCUAUUUUAGGAAAGUUUCCAUUUUAGGAAAGUUGCUAUUUUAGGAAAGUUUCUAUUUUAGGAGAGGUUUCAUUUUAGGAAAGUUUCCAUUUUAAGAAACUUAUUUCCAGAGAAGCUGAGCUUAAGUCGUUGAUUCUCGUGUUGCAGUUGACCUCAGCUGACCGCAUCUUCCGUUGUUCAUUUCAGCCUGUGGCUAAGGUGAGGGCUAUCCCAUUAAAUCCCGAGCUAGUUUAGUACUACUAUUAUGGAAAGUUUAGUUUCGAAACAUGAUCCGUCUCUGUGAAUUGAGUCUGUUUGAGAGUCUUGUUUGUUUAUUAUUACUAUUGAUUGUUAAACCGAAAAUAGGAUAAUAGAGGAUUCAACGGUUGACUGAAUUGAAUGAAUUAAGAACUGUUAUUUAUAUAUGUAUAUACAUAAGUCUGUUAUGAGAUUGCGGGGCACAAAGAUGUUGUGCUAACGGCGCAUUGUGUGGAGAUUGCGGGACACAGAGACGUUUGUGUUAGCGGCGCAUUGUAUGGAGAUUGCGGGGCAUAUGGACGUCUAUGCUAGCGGCGCAUUGUAUGAGGGAUUGCGGGGUACAAAGACGUUUGUACUAGCGGCGCAUAGGUGAUUGCGGGGUACAAGGAUGGACUCUUGUACUAGCGGCGCAUAGAGUUAUAUAUUUAUAUCCGUAUAAGGAGAAUGCGGGGUGUGUGAUCUAGUUAUGCACUAUCAGCGCAUUUGAUGUUUUUAUGUGGUGUAUUAGACACUGUGUUUGUUUUAUGCUAGAACUAGGCCUACAUAGUCGUAGUGCUAUGUACUGAGUCAGUGGUUUGUGGUUUAGCAUCCCAUACCUCACGGAGUAACUCCCCUGUUACUCACCCCUCCUUCUUUCCCCCUUUCAGGUGAGACUGACGAGCAGGAGUGAUUGCUAUCGGAUUGGUGCUUUGGGAGUUUUAUUUCUUUCUUUUUCAAACUUGCGGAUUUUAUGCUUUUAUCGAUAUUCUCGAGAUUUAUUAUGUUAUUUGGAUUUAUGGCUAUUUAUUGGAUUUACGACUUUGGAGUUGACUUUUGAGAAGUAAUAAAUGGAGAUUUCAGAAUUUUAUUUGUUUAUUUUAUUUUGGAAAAUACGGGUGUUACAUAUUUAUCCAACAAAAAGCUUCUUUACAUAAUAACACAAAAAUAGCUUUUGCGAAUUUUCAGCUCUAGUAUGGUCAUUACCCAUGUCUACUUAUGUAUACGAGUCAAAAGAGUUAUUACAUAAACAUCAAGUUAAUUUACAGAUGAUAGAGUACAUGUGAUUCGGUGUGUUACCUCAUAAGACACAUUGUUCUCUUUUUUGACAAGAUAAGGCACUUAGCACUUGAGAGACACAUUGUUCCCUUUCUUCCCACUGUUGUUUGACAGAGUUACCCCUCAGCUUUGGUUAAGGAAAAGACACGGAUGUUCACAUAUUUAUAAUAUAAAAUCUUGUCCAUAUUGUGGGGACCAAAUAUGUUUCCUUAGAGGAGUUAUUAAGGUUGGUUUCUAGGAUAGAGGGAAGCAUAAUAGCCGUUGGAUGGAUCUCGAUCUAAUGGUGGGGGGUUGUUAUGUAUGUAAGGAGUAGGUUUUGUAUUAAAUGCUUGUGUGUGUUGCUUUCGGCGUGAGGAACGCACUGCAGGAGAAAGGUGAGCUUAGCAUUCAUCUUGGGACUUUAUAGAUCUGGGGAUUCUUCAACAUUGCUAACGUGUAACGUUAAAUUAUUAAUCUUGAACGAAACAGGAUUGGAGACAUGGACGAGCAGUGUUUGGUUCUAAGUGGAGACUGGGUCUGUGGAGAUGGAGGUAAAUGGGAUUUUGUCAUUGAGAAGCAUCAGAUGGGUCGUAUGGUGGCGGUUUACGAGGGUAUUGGUUUCCAGGAACUUAAAAGAAAUGUUCUCCGUGAGUUUAGAAUGGAUGAAGCGCAGUUCGGUGUUACGUUGAGCUAUUGGCCACCAACAAGUAUGGAGCUUGCGACUGGGAUUAGGACCCCACCGGUGCUGGUUACUAGUGAUGGAGGUGUGAAGUAUUUCUGCCAACACUUGAAAGUGAAAGGUGCGAUGAAUCUGUUUGCUCGGUUUGAAGCGUUAAAGAAGGUUGUGGACACUGAUGUUGUGGAUGAUUCUGGUAUGGGGUUUGUGUCACCCGAAGCGGCAAAGUUUUUGUCACCAGAUACUGCGAAGUUCCGUAACGGUUCCUCGAAGAAGGGGUUCUGGCCAUCUGCUGCUUCAAAGACGAAGGUCAUAAACCUUGCUGAUGAUGUUGAUUUUGUACGGGAGGUCGAGAAAGUAGAAGAAAAAUUAAUGGGUGAAAGGCAUGAAGGAGAAAGCAGCAAAGAUGUGGGUGAGAGUAGUUACACUGCGGAUACCGAGACAGAAGGAACUUUGGAAGAAGAUGUGGAGGAGAUAGAAGUGAGGCCAAGGGGGUAUGACAGGGAGUUUUGGGAACCGCUUUUAGGUGGCGACUAUGGUGGUUCCGAUGCUGUUAAUGUUGUGUUCAACGAGGAUGAGAUUGUUGAAGGGCUGAAGAAAAAGACAGGGCCAAGAUCAUACUUUUGUGAUACCGGAAGUGCUUUUGACCACUAUGUUGAGGUUGGUGGCGAAGGCGGAGGUGAAAGGGAAGCACACAUGAUGAAGCCAGAGGAUUGUAAUCCCUGGAAUGGAGGUGGGAGUGAGGAUGGUGUAGGUAGAAACAUGAGCGCUAAACCAACACGUAAGCUUUCAGAUAUUGAUGAUGAGGAGUUUGACAUCCCCCCAAUGUUUGAUGAUACCGAAUACGACGCUGCAGAAAUCCCCGACAUGGAUGUUGAUGUAAAUGACGGCCAAAUAGCUGUGGGGAAAGUGUUUGGUAGUAAGCAAGAUUGUCAGAUCGCUCUCGCGAUAUAUGCAAUUAAGAAGCAGUUUAAGUUUACUCAGACAAGGACGAAAGUUGGUUCUUUUGUGGUGGAGUGUCCAGAUAAAAGGUGUGACUGGCGUGUGACAGCACAUGAAAUAAGGGGUUGUGGUUUCUAUGAGAUAAGGAAGGCGCAGCUUGAUCAUAUCUGCCCCAUUGAAUUCAGACAGGGCUACAAGUCGAGAGCAACAUCUCGGGUUAUUGCAGCAGUGUACAAGGCAAAGUUCGGAGACCCGGGGAAGGCACCAGUGGCUCGUGAUUUGCAGAAACUUCUUUUGGAGGACCUCCGUGUAAAUGCCUCUUACAUGAAGUGCUAUAGGGCGAAGGACAAAGCAAUAUUAGGUGUGCGAGGGUCCGAUGAGGACGCCUAUUUGAAGCUGCCAGAGUAUCUUCACAUGCUCAAGCUUGCCAAUCCUGGUACAAUUGCUGAUUUGGAGACAGAUGUAGAUGAAGAUGGUGAUGAACGUUUCCUGUACUUGUUUCUCGCAUUUGGUGCUUCCAUCAGUGGGUUCAGGAAGCUAAGGCAUGUUUUGGUGAUAGAUGGUACACAUCUUAGUGGAAAGUAUAAAGGUGUUUUGUUAACCGCCAGCGGUCAGGAUGCAAAUUUUCAGAUCUUUCCUUUAGCAUUUGCUGUUGUGGACAGUGAGGAUGAGGAUGCGUGGACAUGGUUUUUGCAAAAAGUUGAGAGGAUUUUGGGGGAUUCUCCUACGCUUGCCAUAAUAUCUGACAUGGCUGUUUGUAUUUCCAAUGCAGUGAGUAAGAUUUAUCCUCAAGCAAAGCAUGGAGCUUGCAUAGUUCAUUUGGCUAGGAAUGUGAACUCUAGGUUCUCUAGCAAACACUUAGCGCAAAUGGUGACGGCUGCAGCGAUGGCCCAUAUGCCUAGAGAGUACAAAGAACUCUAUGCGAAGAUCCGUGCCAGUAACAGUGCUUGCGGGGUAUAUCUUGGUAAGAUUGGUGUUGCUAAAUGGUCCCGAGCUAAUUUCCCCGGUGAAAGGUAUAACAUCAUGACUAGCAAUAUUGCUGAGCAGCUGAACAAAGCGCUUUUGGAAGGGAGGGGGGCGAACAUUUAUGAGUUGGUAAAGUUUAUUCAGAGGAUGAUGACGAGGUGGUUUAGUGCGAGGAGGAAAAAAGCAGAGAAACACAGAGGGGCUGUGAGUGUGGAAGUGGACAAAGAGAUGACAAAAAACAUGGCAACUGUUAAAGGAAGCAGCAUAAAUGCUGUGAAUAACUGGACGAGCCAGAUAGUGGGAAAAUUUGGCAGAUCAGAUAAGGUAAUGCUUGCUGAGAAGAAGUGUAGUUGUAAGUAUUUUGAUAAUAUCAAAAUUCCUUGCGGACAUGCGAUGCUGGCAGCGGACGGGCUUGGAGUGCCUUACGAUACAUUGUGCGGUCAUUGGUACAAGACAACGGUGUGGCGGGAGACAUAUGCAGGGGUGAUCAGUCCAGAGGAAGACCCAAAGGAUGUUGACAUACCUGAAGAGGUUAGCAGUAUGGUUGUGUACCCUCCAAUCACAAAAAGGCAAGCUGGACGUCGUCGCAAGACACGUAUCCCAUCGACUGGAGAGAUACGGGUGAGGUUACGUUUUGUAUAUAAAGAUAUUUUGGUUUGAAUUGCUGUUUGGGUGAUGGUGUUGUUGUGAUCAUGUAGGUUCCAAAGAAGAAACUUGUGCAGAACAGGUGUGGUAGGUGUGGAGGGUAUGGGCACAAUCGCACGAACUGCGCCAACCCCAUCUAAUAGUUUGUUUUGCAAGAUUUUUUUGUUGUGGAUCAUUUGCUGGUUGGUUGGAAAGACAUGCUUGGUGUUCUAAAAGGCCCUUUUUGGAGAUUGAAAAACAAUUGUGGCGCUUCUCUGUAUUUUGCAACUUAUUGUAGUUGUUCUUGUAGUUGUUGUUGGGUUCUACGUUUUUAGAGCAAACUUAACGGAGCAAACUUUACGAAGUUGUGAACGAAUGUUUUUGAAUUUAAUUUAUCUGUGGACGUGUACACGUUUGAUUGCACAUCUUUUAAGUUAAAUUAUCACACGAAUUUUUGCGAAGUUAAAUUAUCUGUGGACGUGGGCAAAUGUUUAUGAAGAUUCAUAUAGUGUGAGUAGGAUGAUACAUGUGAUAAGGCUAACGAGUUGAUGAACUUAACGAAACUGCGAAAUGGGCAUGAGGAUUCGAACGUUUAAAGCGUAGAUAGAACAUUACAUUACAAAACACAAGAGUUAAUGGAUGCAGAAAGAGUUGUCCAUAAAACAUAAGCAGGGUGAUACAAUUGUUCGAGUAAACAAACUAAAUAGAUCUGUGACUAGUUAGUGAUCUUGGCGUAAAUCCAUGUCAUUGUUCCUACUACAAUGGCUGCAACAGCAAUGUUGAUAAGUUGUGCCCGAGAGUUAUUUGCAUCGGAGGGCUGAUUGGGUGGCUGUAGAGUAUCUUUUGUGGCAAUAGUUGAGUUGUCGUUUGUCCCUGAGCUAGUAGCUUUGUCAGCAAUCAGACUAUUGAGCUGAAUGAGGGCUUUGUCGAAUUGUAUUGCCUGUUUUUCGAGACGUUGUGUAGUGUAGAUCUUGAAUGAGUCCACAUCUUCCUUUAGCUGAUUAUGUUUAGCAUCUACCAUGUUAACCUCGUCAACAAUGGCCUCGUCAACCCAUUUGAACAAGUGGUGCUCUGUUUUCCUCUGAAAGUUACAAGAAAAGACUAGUCCAGUACAUUGGCGCUAGGAACUAUCAGCAGUGUGUUAAGAAAAGUUGUUGGAGCAUACCUGUACGCCUAAUUUGCAACGGUAAAACCUUCGGAAGAGAUUCUCCUUCGUCUGAGCCCCGAAUGUAGUCAGCUUCGAUCCACACCAACAGGUAGUUGGGAUGCCAACAGUUCGACUCCUUGUGCUGGAUAGUGAGGAAGAGGAGGAAGAGCUCAUGUUUGCGUAUUUGUUUGAGAAUUUUGUAAAAACAAGAGGAAGACGUAAAUAGAGAAUAUGAAAUCAGAUCUGGCUAGGGAUUUUGGUAGGUGAGAUUAUUAAAUAGAAACGAACUUUUGUUUGAGUUCCGGCUGCAUUUUGGAGGAGGUUAACAAAAAAAAGUUUCAUUAUAUUUGUUGGUCUUGCAAAAUCAAUUCGAGGAAAUCGAAUAUUCUACAUUAACCGGUUGGUCUGUUUGUCGACGUGAAAGUAUGUUUAUGUGGAUGUGGAUAUAAUAUGUAAGAAUGCAUCAUCUACAAUUGACGUGACCAUAUUCUAAGCUAUAGAAACACAAUAAAAGGUAAGUAGUAAGCAUAAGAAAGUUUAGAUAGAGUUUGAAAGUGAUAGAGAGCGUUAAGUUUUUGACAGAAACAUGACGAAGAGCACUGCGUUACAACAGAAGCAGAAUCCGAAAACUCCCAAAUAGUACACAAAAAAAGGGAGGGAAAUAGGUGAUAUCGUCUAAGCAUCAGUGAACCGUGCAGCAUAAUAUGAAGGCAAGACUAUGGUCUUGUAGAUGUCCAUCGCAUACUGCUUGCGUAUGUUGUCCACAAUGCGGUCUGUGAUGCUGCUCAUCUGAGGGGGUGGGUCACCAUGGGCGUGCAUCUCUAGGAACUUCAUACUGACAGGUCCGCAGUCACCAGAGCGAGUGUUUGUGUACAGGUCUGGAAUGCGUUUCCACAUAAACGGCUUCAGUCCACGGAAUUGGGUAUGCUCACACAUAGCGACUUUCUUGACAACGUAAGGAAGAGAAUCGACCAAAGGCUUCAUGAACUUCGUGACUCGCCUGACGCCGUAUAAAGAAGAAAGAGGAUCAAGUAUUUCAACGAACCCCAAGUCUAGGUUGAUUGCUAAGCCCACCCAGUGAGAGUCGUUCCAGAGCAUAGGAGUGUAGAUUGUGUGGACAUCUUCCAUCCACUUCUUACCGGGAAGGAGAACAAUGUCGACCAAAUUAGCAUCCCAGACGAAAGUGUUUUUCUUUCUAGACUUGCUGAAAUCGACAUGGUUGUCCUGAAUAAUUUUUGCUAGAGUGGGUGGGGCGAAGGCUGCAUGUUCCCUCUGUAGUAUGUCUGAGUGUCGCGCGGAAAGCAUGUGAACAAGCAAUUCCAUUUGCUGUGGGAAAACUGACCGUGAGUUUUUAAACAGCAUUGAGACCAGGAAAAAUGAAUCAGAGAUCGGGACUUACAUAGGUUGUUGUCCAUUGCUUUGGUUCUGCUAAUUGGAGAAGAGAUUUGUUGGAAAAUUCAAAUUCAAACCGGGUAGUAUGGUAUCUGCGAUGCAAAAAAAAUUGAUGGGAUAUGAGGAACAAUGUGAAAAUGUAAUAAGAGUGGUUCAGUGUUUGCAAAACUUACACGUUAAUGUUUGCUUUAAGAAUUUUCUCAAACAGGUCCCAUUCCAUCUGUGGGAGUGGGCUGAUGAGGGCUAUAGCAGGAACAAGUGGAGAACUGAAUAAUUCUUUGGCCAGAUGGUUCUGUUCCAUAGAUGGAACGUGCCUCGGGGGAUCUUUUGUCUGUGUGAGGUCGAUAACUGCCUCAUCAUCACCCUGAGACUGUAAUGUUUACAUAGCAUCAUGUAAUUAACAAGAUGAACACAGAUGAAUUGUGAGUGUGGAAGUGGACAAAGAGAUGGAAAAAACGAUACCUCAUCAGCUGGGGCAGGUACGAUUGUUGGACGUCCUAUCACUGGUGGAGAGGUUGAAGCUGUGGCUGCAAAAGCAUUGGGUGUGGCAGUGUGAGAGAGGAAACCUAAACCACUAUCAUUACUCUUAGCCGGUGAGGUAAGUGGUGUAAAAGACAGUGGUGACAAUCGUAAUGGAAUAUCUGGCGCAGAAGAUGGACCAAUUGUAGAGUCGAAUAUUGGUGGGUUGGAAAGAGGUGGGUCUGGGGAGAUGGGAUCAUAUAUCCUGAGACCAUGACAUAGAAUGUGGUUAAUCUCGGGGCUGUUGGGGUGAUCACUUUUAUCAUAUAUAACAGAUUUUGGCUCUGGUCGGUUUGAUAGGUGUCUGUGAGGAUGAGGUGGAACGAUGGGCUGGUUAGGGGUUGUCUGGAUGUCGUCCUCAGGAAUCGUGUUGGUGGUAUUCUCGUCAGGAGGGAUCAUCUCAGAGUCUGAGUUGUGGUCAGGGGAUGUGUGGACGGUGGUGUGGUUGUGGUCGGAAAGGCCGUGGACAGUUGGUGUGUGGAUGGUUUCCACACUAUCAGGGGAGCUGAAAGGAGUAGGGGUGCGUGGGGGCGAGUCGUUUGGAGUCGUUUGAAGAGGAGUGUUCAGGCUUGCAGAAGCCUGACGUUGUAGAUGAACUGCAUACUGACUUAUGAUAGGUGACUGGCUGGAUGGUUGCUCAUCUGUCUCCAUUGCAUCCACAUCCUACAACCGUAACAAAACAGACUGUGUAAGCAAUAAUAAGAGAAAGUGUUUGCAAUGUAUGAGAAACAGAGUUUGAUUGAACAAAACCUGAUCAGUUGGAUGAUCAUCAUCGAGUGGUGGUGCCUGAACAGGCUGAUGUUGAUGGUGAGAUGUGUCGGGAACAUCCUAAAAUAAUAAUUUGCAUUGGAAGUCAUUAAAGAACUCUUUGGUUUAUUAAAAAAGUAUGGGUCGAUAUGAAGAACAAAAACUAUAAAAAAAUACCUGAUGGAUUGGUGCUUCAUGUCUAGCCUUAUGAGAUGUCGCGGGUUUCUUGCUACGGGAUAUAAGUGUAUGGAAUGAUCUUUGCAUUGGAUGAGAUGUCUUCUUCUUUUUUUGCAAGAGUUUGUGCAGCUGCUUCAUCUGCUUUUGAAGUUUCAACACCAUUUCCGAGAGCUGUUCGUUGGUGAAACUGGCGACACUUGAACGUGUAAAGUACGAACUGAUGCGCCUUUGCUUCCUUGAGGACGUCUCCUUCUUGAUGACCUUCUUUGGUUUGAGAGAUUGCUUAACCCGAGUCGGAAACAUGCCCUUUCGAUGACCACGAGCUUUAGGCUUAAUAAGCAAAGGCUCGGUUGUGACACCAGCAGGCCACAUCCCUUUGUUGAAAGUGAACUGAUCAGCUAUCAAUUGUUCCAUGUAUAUUACACAGUCAUCCUUGGGGUCGUUGGGCCACUCUCCCCAGCCAGACUGCGGUUGGCUUUCAAUAGGUAUAAUCGGUGAGACAGCAAGCUGAGACAGUGGAGCGUGCAUAAGUUAAUUAAACAUUUUAUGUUCAAUAUAAGGGCAGUAAGAUAUAAUAAUAUGAUGACUUACAUCCGAGGAGAAUUCAACACGGCGGACACCGAUAGAAUCGAUGGAUUUGUGUUGUGGUAGAUAACCAUCUUCUAAGUCCAUGAGUGUGCGCUGGUCGGGUUCCGCAGGAAUGAAAGAUAACAGCUGGGGGAUGGCGCGAAAUGCCACCAAUUGAAGUGUCAAAGGGAAGCUUUGAAGUCUGAAAGAGUCUUGUUUGAGCUUUCAAACAAGCCAAGAAACAGGAUCGUUGCCGUUUUUGAGAGACGGUUUGGGGGGUUUCAUGCAUGAGAUGGUCUUCACGAAUGAUUCUCUGCCCCAAGGAAAGGCAAAGAAAGUUUUGAGGUUUUUAAGCAUCUUGACAUAUCGAGGAGUGGCGCGUGCUUGUUGUUUGUGAGCAAUGAGAACACCGUCGACAAUGAUGAUUAAAGCUAUACGUAUCUUCUUCCAAUGUUCCAUCUUCUUAUCCUCUUCAAGCAUCAGACAAAGUUCGGCAAUCGUUACCAUCGUCUUCUUCCCAAACAGUCUCUUCCAGACUUCGUCUUUCCCCGCAACAACUGGCUUUGCGGUGUCGGGGUGGUAUCCUUCAGGGAAAGAGGCGCAAUUCAGACCAGUCACCGUCCCAAACUCUUGAAGACCAUAGCGGAGAGGGUUCCCACCAAAAACAGACCAAAGCGUAUUUUUGGGUAGACAGACAAGCUGGCGAGUGAGAAAUGAGUGAAUGAGCUUAGCAGAUACUGGACAUUGACGGGCUGGUAUGUCGAAAAGCUUUCCGAAACAAGACUCUCGAAUUAUUUGGAACUCCUUGGUGUCUCUAAGAACAUGACGAAGGAAGGGGAGGAUCUCCGGUGAGGAGUAGAUGUUAAGACGCUUUGUUGGGAAUCGAUCUGUGGCAAAUAAUCGUGGCGGGAGACGUAGAUCUGGUUGAAAAGACCCUGAAAUUUGGAGCAGGGCAAGUAGUUAGUCUCCUAAUUUGGACAAUCAAAAUUACAAAACACGGUUUCACCGGCGUAGAUCUGGUGGCAAAGACCCUCUCAUAAUUUUGAAAAAUUAUUGGAUGUUGAAAUGAAAAGAAGGAGGAACAAAUGCUGACCUGAAGCGUCUUGCGGUGAAUCCGGUUCCGGUGUCGCCGUGGGUUUCUUCUUGGCCUUCUUUUUCGUCAUUGAGUUUCCUUGAAUUUGGUGUCACCGACGGAAACGAUACAGAGAAAGAUAAGAAAUAGAGAGCUUUUCGAGAAAUUAGGGUUAGGGAUUUAGGAAAGUGAAAAGUGGUUUCUGUGUGUUUUCUAAUUUCCGACAGAACACUAAAGAGUAGAAAAAUAUUAUAAAAAUAUAAUCAUGGUUAGGUGUCUUGGGUUAGCCUUACCUUAGUGUGGUCAAUAUUGAGGGUAUGCAAGACAAUAACCACACAUAAAGUGCUCCUCAAGUGGGAAGUGUCUCUUUAUGUAAUACAUAAGACAUAAAGUGUCUUAGGAAGUAAAAAAAUCUUCGAUGAAUGUGUGUCUGUGAGGCUGAUUAAACAAAGAAAACUAAAGGUUGUCUUCCUGAUUUACCUUAAGAAUCUCCGAUGGAAUUUACACAUCCAUCCCUAUAUUUAUUUUCUAGAAACCUUUAUGAUUACUUAGGAAGACAGUGUAGAGGCUUGGAUAGGUUCUUUGGCAUUUGUAUUUCAACAACAUGUUUCUGGGAAACUACUGAUCUUUUAAUAAAUAGUCUGUUUACGGCUAUGAAACUUGGCCAGAGGGACAGAGGGUUUAUCAUAUCAUAAUUUUUUUUAGGCAAGUGAGCAUAACAUAAGAAAAUGAGAUAAAUUGAAAUGUCAAAACUACAAUGGAACUCACCCUGUAGUCUUAUCAAAAUACGAGUGCAUUUGAAAAAAAACAUGCAUCAUUGUCAGCCUUCAAAUAACCUGGCAUUAGACGGUGAAUAUCCAAUAACUCCAAGAAUUUUGGGUGGAAAGCAUUGAAAGAUAUUUGAAAUGCAGUUGAUGCUGCAGUUGGUCAUAUAUAUAGAAAUAUUUGUGACAACUCGUCCCACCCACUAAAGACCCCAUGCUCGCAGCCUUAUAGGGCACCGACUCUAACCUCUCACCGUAGGAGAAAACACCUUUACCGGUAGGUUAUUAAUACGCUUGACGUUGCUCGAAUCCAAGACUUCACCUUUUAACAACACUCCUACACGACGAGUUGUCACCAAACGAUACAAAGCCUUCGCCUCUAGCAUGUGACACAAUUAUACAUGAUCAGUUGAUCACUAUUAUUUGGCAAAGAACAGAUCGAAUAUAGCUUUAUGAUACUUGCUGCUGUGUUAAUGAUUUUAUAAAGAUUAUGUUUUGCUUCUUAGUGUCACCAAAAUUCAAAGAUUCCUGAACCCAUGUUUAACAAAUAUCAUGCAUGCUUCAAGAAUCGGAUUUUAUAUUUUUUUUUUCUUCCCAAAAGAAUUCCAAUACUUUGCUAUCUAUCAAACUAAACCAAGUUUUAACCGGAGCUGGAAAUUUUGGAAUGGGACCCACCAAGUUUCGCCUUCUUUUUUUUGUAAUAAAGGCAAAAAAGAAAAAAGGAAAAGUUUACGCCGUCCGAUUUGUGUAGCUUCUUCCAACUAAUUCUUCUUCGUAUUCGUAGCCGUGAAAUCGUAAAGAUUCCAACUUUCUAUAUUGAAGAUGACAGACAAGUGCGAUGAGGCUCGGGUUCCUCCUAGCGACUCGGCUACAACGAACGAUGCUUCUCGAACGAGGCAAAGGUUACCUCUUUUCCCCUUCCUUCCAAUCUCUACCAUCUGAUGCAAUUUUUCGUAAAAAAUCAAUUUUUUUUAUUUCUGCUCAUGCCAAUUGUAAUUUGGAUUUUGCAUCUUCCCUGGAUUGCUUCUUUAUCCAAUUUGCAUCCUAAUGUUGUGGCAGGAGAAAGAGAAAGUGGGAUCAGCCCGCGGAGCAGCUUGUUGCAGCUGGAGUUGUGCUUCCUCGAUUAGGCAAUGCUGCUAUCAAUGUUCCUCCUGCUGCUACCAACACUGUUGCUCCAUUCUUCCAAACCCCACUUCCAAAACUUAUUCAAGUAAUUCACCCUUACCCUGUUUUUUCAAUGUUCAAGAAACCUGUUUAGGCGUCUUGUAGAGAGGAUUAUUGUUUAGGCAGGCACCUAGACACGCGUCUAGACUCGAGUUAUAGAACACUGGAUCUUUUAGAGCUCAACUCUUCUCUGAACUUAGCUAUUGUUUGUUUAUUUGAAUCAUGUCUUUUGGUUAUUUGGUAUCCGGUUAUAGAUUCGUUAGAGGACUGCAACUCUUACUCUCUUUUGGGGCUCAACUCUUCUCUUAGUUUAGCUAUUGCGCUGUGUAUUAGCUAGUGCAGAGAGGAUAUGUUAUCGUGUUGUUUAUCUGAAUCGUGUCCUGGUUAUUUGGUAUCCGGUUAUUGGUAGUUUUUUCUCUCGUUAUUAGUAGUUUUACCGUAUGGUUGGUACAGUUUCUUAUUUGUUAAUGCAUGAGAUUCCACAAACACCCCAAAUAUUGCCACUCUGUUUGUCACUUUAACAUUAUUGCAUGUGUAUACAUACUGAACGAGCUGUUGGUUGUUGUUAUUUUUCCUUUAUAUCCUUUCAUCCUGUAAUUCUAACAUGAUGAUUCAUUGUAUUUUUUUUUUGUUGCAUGUCCAUCCAGGAUGAGCUAACCAUAGCUAGAGAAAUCGUUAUCAACGAUGCUGAAGCUUCUCUUAGGCACAAGCUUACUAAACGCUCAACUCAAGAAGAAGUAAGCGUUUGUGGCUUUCUGUGCAUAAUAUAAGAUAACAUUUGUCUCUUCUCGUGUUUUUAGCUUCUUUUUCUUCUUGCAGAUUCAGAGGUCUACUGGUGCUGUGGUGAUUACUAGGUUUGUCCAACAUUUUUAUCCACGGAAUUUUUAUUUUUAUACAGUGAUCUUUUCUAUUUUGGAUUGAUGAAUUUCGUUCUUGUAGGGGCAAGUAUCGUCCUCCAAAUGCACCUCCUGAUGGUGAAAAGCCAUUAUAUCUUCACAUAUCUGCUGCUGCCCAUGUAUGUUAUCCUUUUUUAUCUUAACAGAAUACUAGUGAAAGGGAUAGGUUAAUAAGCUGAUGAUUUGUGCUUUACUGUGUGACUUAAGUUGCUUAAGUUUCCUUAUGGAAAUUAUUGGUAAUAGUGGUGUAUAAUGAUGGUAGAAAUGUUAAUAUGAUAAAUGUAGCAUGUGAUGGGCAAAAGAGUAAAACGUUUAUGGCUAAAGCAACCUAUGUAUUACAGUAAGCUGUGAGGUUUUAUAUGACCUCUGAGCUUUGAGAAUUUGGCCUGUUUUCUUACGCUUGUUAUCACAACUGCAGUUAAAAGAGACUACAGAGCGAAUUUUAGCAGUUGAUCGUGCAGCAGCUAUGAUUGAGGAGAUGAUGAAACAGAAAACAAACUCACAGGUCGGGUUGGUUGGUUCUCCGACGGUCAAGGUAGAGAGUGUAAUGUCACACUUCUUUUUUAUAGUUAUGAAAUAAGGCCAGCAAUAAACUGAACUAUGUUUUCAUUCCAGAUGCUGAACACAUGCGUUUAUUUGGGUUUUGAAGCUGACCCAUCAUCUAAUGUUGCUGCUCGUAUUCGUGGGCCUAACGUCAGUCUUCUUUCAUUCUCCUACUACCCUUUGUUAUUUCUAAUUUACAUCAAAAGAACUGAAUCUCUAGUCCGAUAUAAAAUAGCUCAGCACCUUUCCUUAUUUUAUAACUUAAAACUGUAUAAAAGAAUCAGUAGAAGUGCUUGUCUAUUGCUCUAGGUUUUCAUCUUUGUUUUACUUUUGCAUUAUAUUUGUUAUGAAUUCGAGAGGUUCUAAUGUUGAAGCUCUCUCCGACAUCUCCGUGCAACCGGGAGAGAACGUUUUUUGUGUUGUUGGUGGUUGGCUUUCCUACAUGCAGGAUCAGUAUAUAAAUCACAUUAUGAAUGAAACAGGAGCAACCGUUGUACUAAGAGGGCGUGGUUCAGGGAACCUUGAGAACCAACAUGGUGAAGGUUAAUUUUACCUCAUUUGUGUUUGCCUUUGUCUCAUCUUAAAGGUGCGCUUUAUGUAAUGUAAUGCAGCUUCCUGUUUUUUUACGCAUUAUUGCAGAAGCACAGCAACCAUUGCAUCUGUUAUUGUCUAGUAGCAACCCGAAAAGCAUUGACGAUGCAAAACGUUUAGCUGAGAAUCUUAUGGAUACAAUCAGUGUUGAAUUCGGGGCUUCAAGGUUCGUUUUAUCUUCCAAAAUAUCUUCCAAAUGUUGCCAUAGAUCAUCUUUUCGUCUUUACUUUUAGUUUUAUAUGGUUGUCUUACAAAAAUUUGUAGGGUUUCCUCAAGCAAGGUGUAUGGUGCUGUACCACCACCACAGCAACUGCUUGCUGGAGCUCCGAUUCCUGAAACCGCACAAAAGCCAAAUUUGAGUUCAUCAUAUGGUUUGAUGACAUCGCCAAAUGCUGUUAAUCCAUUUCCAGUUCCUCCAGCAACAACAACUCUGUAUCCUCAGUUUCCAGUGUUUCAGCCUCCAGGGAUCUCAAACGGUGGGCACUUGCGACCAAGUCCAGUCAGUUACUUACAACCUGCGGCUGGUGGAACUAGUUAUAGUGGGUAUGCCGGAAUAUACCCUCAAGCCACUCCACUGCAACAAGUUGCUCAAGUCCUUAAGCAAUCUGUUACUCCUGUUGUCUCCACCGUGCCCCCUACUUUGUUGACAUCUGCCGCCUUAUCAAAGCCAAGUGGUAUUCCAAGUAAGGAAACGGAAAGGCGUCCACCCCAGAAGCGCAAGUUUCAGGAGCUACCAGCUGAUUGUAAAGUCCCAGCAAAAUCCAAAGAGGUAAACAUAACUUUUUCUGGAAUUGCAAUGGUUUUAGGGAGAAACGGAUGGUUCGAAGCCCAUGUUAUCUUCCAUAACUGAGUUAUCUUGUGAGAACCUGUGUUUAUGGUUGUUUGAAACUUGUAAGCAAUAAGCAAUGAUCAGGUAAGUUUUUUAAAUGGGAAAAUGGUUAGAUAUUUUGGGUACUGUUGAAAAUUUGUCUUCUGGAAGUUUAAAGGUUAAGUAGUAUGUAAGUGUAGCUAUCUUCAUAAGCAUUUGCGUGUGUGAAUUUUUACUGUUUAUAAAAGUUUCAAACCUGAUUACGAAAACUUUUUAUUGGGGAAUUACAAUUAUCUUGGAAGUCCAUGGUUUCUGAUGCGUUCUUUCAGUUGUACUGUAAUAGUUUUUAUCCUGUGCUGACUUUUUCCCUUACUAUUCCAGGUAUUUUUCUGAACUUCUAAGAAGCUAACUAGCUGAUUCUGGACCCGUGGGCCAUUGGUUUGAAUGUUUCACAGGGUAUUCUUAAUAUUGGAGGCACCAUGUGUUUGCAGUCAUCCUUGCUUCAGUUUGGCGAUCAGAAUCAGAACCUUUUUACUUUUAAAACGUCCUUCGAAAGUCGUGACAUGUCUCCCUUGUGUGCAUGCUCCCAUGUAUCUACACUUACGUACCUUUCAUUUAGGUUGGCAUUAGGCUUGUAUUUAUGGUAGAAUAGGCUCAUCCUCCAUAAAAUAUCUAUGGUACUUUUAAUUUUUUUUUAUCUCCAAUCAGUGUUUCUAAGGCAGUCUUUGAAACCAGCUACAUCGUAAUGAUCUUUAACUUGCGUCUUUAAGGAGAGCUUAUCUGAUUGAAGAUGUUAUUUUAGUUCACUUAGGUCCUGAAUGAGCUUGUGAAGGUUUAGCUUUAGGGUACAUCUUGGUCCUGGAUUUGAAACAAGCUUUACUCUCUUUGUAUAUUUGCAUUAUCACUAUUUAUCUGCCUAUACAAUUAUCUAACUGUUGUAUUGUAAAAUGGCGAUGUUAUACUCCUAUCAUUUAUUGCAGAAGUCCGAGUCAGCAAUGGCAGGUGAAGUUGCUCCAAAGAAUAUACGUGAGCCAACAGCAAAUGGAGUGGGAUCACUGCCUUCACAACGAU